rnacentral:tRNA from 1 species
AAACAAUUAACUCAAUGGUAGAGUGUUUCGCUUACAACGAAGAGGUUAGCGGUUCAAAUCCGUUAUUGUUUA